rnacentral:rRNA from 1 species
CACGUAGGAAGCGAGCGUUAUCCGGAUUUACUGGGCGUAAAGCGCGUGCAGGUGGUAACGUAAGUUGGAUGUGAAAGCUCCUGGCUUAACUGGGAGAGGUCGUUCAAAACUGCGUAACUAGAGUACGAUAGAGGGAGGUAGAAUUCCGAGUGUAGUGGUGAAAUGCGUAGAUAUUCGGAGGAAUACCAGAGGCGAAGGCGGCCUCCUGGAUCGUAACUGACACUGAGACGCGAAAAGCUAGGGUAGCAAACGGGG